GUAAGGGGCCACACGUCCCAAAUCUGUGUUUCUUUUGCAAUAUCUCUGGAAAUUUUCAAAGAUCUCUGCCCAGAUUGGGUGAAGGAUCACACAGGAAUCUGUCGUGCUGCUUCAGUCUGCAAGAAACGAACUUGCCUGCCAGGAAAAUCCCCCAGGAAAGCUUUGCCCAGGCCAGCUGCAGGACACCGCGGUGCUCAGCAAAACGCCGAGACCAACCUGUUGAUACCAACUGGGAGAAACUGCAAGGAUCAGCUUUGACUUUUGCUCUGCCAUCGCAAGCAUCUCUGGCAGUUUAGCAUGCAGGGGAAAACAGCAAGGGAAUGGUUAUCGAUGUGCCGGAGCAAUCACACCCAGCAUGACUAGCAGAGACCAAAUGGUGUCUGCUGCCCAGCUGGCACACUCAACCUGAAAUUACCCUUUGGCACACACCGAUGCAGGUAGCUGUGAUGAAAAGUGGCCCACCAGGACCAAGCAGCUGUGGUCAGCAUCACAUCAGCAACUCAAAACUCUUCCAGGCACAGUACAAGACAGUGAUGCAGGUGGGCACCAUCACAGGACGAAGCUGCAGGAACUAUGUCUGCCGUGCUGCUGCAGCUUCCUUUAUCCCAGGGCUAAAUGAAAACAGAUGAACUGAAAGCAAGAGUGCCUUCGCAGCAUGCAUGCUAGCAGUUUUGUCAACAGGGCUCCAUGAUUUACUUCAUGUGGUUUUCUAUGACAGCAUCCUUCUGCUUCUAGAAGCUCAGAGAACUCAGCUCAGAGAACUAAUGGCACAAACACCGGUGAGGCAUUUCUGAAAUGUGAAAGCACAUCACACAGACGGCAUGGGGAGAUCACACAGAGUGCAGAGACCUUUGAUGUCUUCCUCUGGAACCAGAGGCAGGAGAAAUGCCUGCUGGUACACAUGUCCUGAGGACGAGCACAGGGUGGCGGGUGAACUGCUGUAAGCUUCUGGCGUGUCGGACGGCAGUUCCUUCCUCGGCAUCUAAUGAGAUCAAAAAGCUAUUUGCUGGUGCAGGUUUAGUGCGCCUCUAACAGCCCUGGGGGCUAAGUCUGGCCCUCUGGCACCACCAGCAAACUCCUUUUCAUUUCAUCUAAUGGUCUGUAGAAAGCCUCGUUAAAAGCUAGACUUAUUAUUUAUUUAA